rnacentral:rRNA from 1 species
AUUGAACGCUGGCGGCAGGCCUAACACAUGCAAGUCGAACGAGUGGCGGACGGGUGAGUAAUGUCUGGGAAACUGCCCGGUGGAGGGGGAUAACUACUGGAAAGGGUAGCUAAUACCGCAUACCAUCGGAUGUGCCCAGAUGGGAUUAGCUAGUAGGUGGGGUAAAGGCUCACCAAGGCGACGAUCCCUAGCUGGUCUGAGAGGAUGACCAGCCACACUGUAACGGAGACACGGUCCAGACUCCUACGGGAGGCAGCAGUGGGGAAUAUUGCACAAUGGGCGCAAGCCUGAUGCAGCCAUCCCGCGUGUAUGAAGAAGGCCUUCGGGUUGUAAAGUACUUUCAGCGGGGAGGCGUUACCCGCAGAAGAAGCACUGGCUAACUCCGUGCCAGCAGCCGCGGUAAUAC